UACGUAGGGUGCAAGCGUUAAUCGGAAUUACUGGGCGUAAAGCGUGCGCAGGCGGUUAUGUAAGACAGAUGUGAAAUGCCCGGGCUUAACCUGGGAACUGCAUUUGUGACUGCAUGGCUAGAGUGUGUCAGAGGGGGGUAGAAUUCCACGUGUAGCAGUGAAAUGCGUAGAUAUGUGGAGGAACACCGAUGGCGAAGGCAAUCCCCUGGGCCUGCACUGACGCUCAUGCACGAAAGCGUGGGGAGCGAA
rnacentral:rRNA from 1 species